rnacentral:snRNA from 1 species
GUGAUUGCUUCAAAAGCACGUAUCCUAAAAUGGGAAUGAUAUAGAGAAGAUUAGCAUGGCCCCUGUGCAAGGAUGACAUGCAAAUUCAUGGAGCAGUCCAUGUUUUU